AUUCUAUUGAGGAUCUAGAAACUUUGCCACUGCAAAAUCUCUCUUCUCUUGUGUCUUUGAAGAUAUAUAAUUGCCAGAUAUUAAAGUCUCUCUCCCUACAACAUCUCACUGCCCUUCAAGACCUACAUCUUGAGAAUUGUCCUAAUCUUGAGCUAGCCAACGAUGAGGAUGGGAUGCAAUGUCAAGGCCUUACGAGCCUCCUCUCCAUUCGCUUCAGAAUACUUCCAAAAUUGGCGUCUCUCCCCUCAGAGCUUCAACAUGCUACCACUCUACAAAAGCUUCAGAUUGGGAUUUGUGGAAGCUUGACGGCUAUACCAGAGUGGAUCCACAACUGCAAAUCACUUCAAUUGCUUGACAUUCGUGACUGCUUCAGAUUGGCAUCACUCCCCGAAGGAAUGCGUAGGCUAACGUCUCUGCAGAAUCUAACAAUUGUGAAUUGUCCCAUCCUAUUGCAAAGAUGCAAGAGAGAAACAGGUGAGGAUUGGCCCAAGAUUGCUCACAUUCCAGAGUUAAACUUAGAAUAUCCACCUCAGCAAGAAGAAAAUUCAAUCAUCCAUGCAGCUUCGACUGAUUCAGAUGCAGAAGCGGCAACAACGAAUUGAAGCCCAGACGAAACAGGGGAUUGGAAACUUGUUAAAAAAUCUAGGGCACUGCAUAUGUGAUUCUUCACAUUUUAGGAGAAAUAUUUGAGUGAAAACUGGCACUUGGUGAAACUCGAGCAAAUACUUUGCGGAAGAUCCAAUCUGUAAACGACACUCAGAGAACUCCAAGCUGCACUGAUCAAUACUACUCUGAAUCAUAUAAAAAUGAAUUUGGAAAUGACAUCAACAAGGAUCUGAAGACUACUGACCCUUAGUUUCUUGCAAUACUAAGGGGCACAAUUAAGUGCUUGACUCCUCCUGAGAAGUAUUUUGAGAAGGUUCUUAGUCUGGCAAUUAACAAACGAGGAACAGAUGAAGAAGCACUCAUUAGGGUUGUCACUACAAGGGCCAAGAUUGACAUGAAGUUUAUAAGAAAAAGGUUUUGGAUAAAACAUCUCACUUCAAUAAGUUGAUGAUAUGAUGUACCUGGGUGUUUCAUUGUCCAUUGUGUAAUCGGAGCAAAAACCGGCAAUUACUGAAAUCGGAUUAAAUAUUGUGGGGAGGGCCAAAUCUGGCAACUGAAUGGUAAUUAGAAUCAACUUUUUGCAUAGGCGCUUGAAACUUCUGUGAAGGAAACGAAGCACACCAAGAUUCAUCACAGUUGGUGGUGGAGCUGUUGGAAAGACUUGCAUCCUCAUAUCUUAUAUCAGCAAUUACUUACCCACGGAUUAUGUGCCCAGUGCCCUCUGUGUUUGACAACUUUAGUGCUAACGUCGCGGUUGGUUGAUGGUAGCAUAGUUAACCUUGGACUAUGGGACACUGCUGGACAGGAGGAUUAUAACAGGCUGAGGCCUUUAAGUUACAAAGGUGCAGAUGUUUUCUUGUUGCCUUCUCUCUCAUCAGCAAACCCUACUAGGAAAAUAUCUCUAACAAGUGAAUCCCCUCAACUGUGCCAAUAGUCAAUCCCUCCAGAUUGGCAUCACUCCCCGAAGGAAUGCGUAGGCUAACGUCUUUGCAGAGGCUAACAAUUGUGGAUUGUCCCAUCCUAUUGCAAAGACGCAAGAGACACACAGGUGAGGAUUGGCCCAAGAUCGCUCACAUUCCAGAGUUAGGCUUACGGUGUCCGACUGACCAAGAAGAAAAUUUAAUCACCCAUGCAGCUUCGACUGAUUCAGAUGCAGAAGAGGCACAAUGAAUUGAAGCACAGACGAAACAGGGGAUUGGAAGCUUAUUUAAAAAUCUAGGGCACUGCAUACGUGAUUCUUCACAUUUUAGGAGAAAUAGUUGAGUGAAAGCUAGCACUUGAUGAACUAGAGCAAAUAUUUUACGGAGGAUCCAAUCUGUAAACAACACUCGGAGAACUGCCUUGCUGCACUGGAUUUUUGCUACAAGGAGCAAAGGGCAGAUCAAUGCUACUCUGAAUCACUAUAAAAAUGAAUUCCGAAAUGACAUCAACAAGGUUUCUCAUGGGAAUUCAGGGGCUUCUUGAAUCAAAAUAGAGUGAUGUCAUUUUCUUGAGAGGGUCAAAUUUGGCAAUUGAAUGAGUACUAAGAGAGCAAAUUACAAAGAGGAAAUGCCAUGUACAAAAGCAGCAUAAAUCAAGGAAUGAGGGUUAACUUGAGGGUCAAAUAUGCUGAGUUUGAGGAUCAGUUAUGCUGUCUUGAGGAGUACAUGGCAUGUCGUGAGAUAUAGCUUUAACACUCAACACUCCAUUGUUACAAUCAAAUACAAACCCAGUCCUCUUUAGAUUAUUCUCUUUCAUUUCAGGUACUGUUAGCUUCUCAACUUUUUUGAUUGUUUAUGUCUUUCGACAAAGAAAGCUGGUUUUACAAUUAUGCAGCAAGUAGCAUACAAAUGUGAAAAUAUGUGAUUACUCAAUUGAGAUGGCUCUUAAGACUAAAACGUUUCAAGGUGGCAUUUGGUAAAUUCACUUUCCAAAUAAGAUGACGAGCCUGCAGUGUCAUAUGUUGGAACUCUGAAAUGGCCACCUCAACAAUUUCAAAGGGACUUGCAUUUUUGUCAUAGUGGAAAAUUAAGAUAUGAAGUCGACAGCUAUAACCUGGUGAUGCAAACAGGUUCUUGGAAUUUCUGUACUAAUGGAGGUAGAGAACAAAGAGACGAAGCUUUGUUAGGAGGGUGAAGGAAACGAAAUGAAGUUGAAAAAUGAGAUUCAUCAAGAUUCAUAAAAUGGGAAUCAAAUGCUGAACAUACAAGAGUAAAUCUUUCUUCAAAGAAAGCUGGUUCUACAAUUAUGCAGCAACUAGCAAACAAUUGUGAUUGUGCGCCCACUGUGUUCAACAACUGUAGUGCUAAUGUCACGGUUGAUGGUAGCACAGUUAACCUUGGACUAUGGGACACUGCUGGAAGGAUAGGACUUAGGAGGAUUAUAACCAGAUGUUUUCUUGUUGGCCUUCUCUCUCAUCAGCAAAGCCAGCUAUGGAAAUAUCUCCAACAAGACUGGAAGUUCUAGUGAAUCCCCCCAACUGUGCCAAUAGUGCUAAUAGGAACCAAACUUGAUGUACAAGAAGACAAGCGGUAUUUGAUUGGUCAUCUUGGUGCUACAUCAAUGAUCUCGCAGUUGGCUGCUGUAUGGAAAUGAGGACUCGAUCGCAGUAGUUACCUGUCCAGAUUUUAGUCAUUUCAAAUUCAUUGAGACCAGAAUUUUCAGUAUGAUUUUUUUUUUUUUUUUUUUCUAAGUUUUUGUGUAUGUUGUAUUCCUGAAAACGUCGACGAUCUAAACUUUGACUCGCUCAUAAUUCAUGUUUGCUUUGCACUUUUGCUAUAUCCAUUAUCAUGAGUUGAGUUGAAGGGGAGUCUAUACUUGAUAUACAUUUUGUGUAAUUCAAAUUUCACAAUGAGCAAAUUUUCUUGAAAGAUUUAUUUUCAUCUCUGCAAAUUUUGUA